rnacentral:rRNA from 1 species
CCUACGGGUGGCUGCAGUGAGGAAUAUUGGUCAAUGGACGCAAGUCUGAACCAGCCAUGCCGCGUGAAGGAUGAAGGCCUUCUGGGUUGUAAACUUCUUUUAUUGGGGAAGAAAAUUACGGUUUCUACUGUAACCGACGGUACCCAAGGAAUCAGCACCGGCUAACUCCGUGCCAGCAGCCGCGGUAAUACGGAGGGUGCAGGCUUUAUCCGGAUUCACUGGGUUGUAGGCGGGUGUAGAAGGGCGUGGUGAAAUCUCCGGGCUCAACCUGGAAACUGCCAUUGAUACUAUUAGUCUUGAAUAUCGUUGAGGUAGGCGGAAUAUAUCAUGUAGCGGUGAAAUGCAUAGAUAUGAUAUAGAACACCGAUUGCGAAGGCAGCUUGCUAAACGAUGAUUGACGCUGAGGCACGAAAGCGUGGGGAUCAAACAGGAUUAGAUACCCCAGUAGUC